GGGGAUUUAGCUCAGCGGCAUAAGCACCUGCCUUGGAAGCAGGUGGUCGUGAGUUCAAUCCCUG
rnacentral:tRNA from 1 species